GACGAACGCUGGCGGCGUGCCUAAUACAUGCAAGUAGAACGCUGAAGGAGGAGCUUGCUUCUCUGGAUGAGUUGCGAACGGGUGAGUAACGCGUAGGUAACCUGCCUGGUAGCGGGGGAUAACUAUUGGAAACGAUAGCUAAUACCGCAUAAUAGCAGUUAUUGCAUGAUAACUGUUUGAAAGGUGCAAUUGCACCACUACCAGAUGGACCUGCGUUGUAUUAGCUAGUUGGUGGGGUAACGGCUCACCAAGGCGACGAUACAUAGCCGACCUGAGAGGGUGAUCGGCCACACUGGGACUGAGACACGGCCCAGACUCCUAUGGGAGGCAGCAGUAGGGAAUCUUCGGCAAUGGACGGAAGUCUGACCGAGCAACGCCGCGUGAGUGAAGAAGGUUUUCGGAUCGUAAAGCUCUGUUGUAAGAGAAGAACGAGUGUGAGAGUGGAAAGUUCACACUGUGACGGUAUCUUACCAGAAAGGGACGGCUAACUACGUG
rnacentral:rRNA from 1 species